rnacentral:rRNA from 1 species
UACGUAGGGUGCAAGCGUUAAUCGGAAUUACUGGGCGUAAAGCGUGCGCGGGCGGUUUUGUAAGUCUGUCGUGAAAGCCCCGGGCUUAACCUGGGAAUUGCGAUGGAGACUGCAAGGCUUGAAUCUGGCAGAGGGGGGUAGAAUUCCACGUGUAGCAGUGAAAUGCGUAGAGAUGUGGAGGAACACCGAUGGCGAAGGCAGCCCCCUGGGUCAAGAUUGACGCUCAUGCACGAAAGCGUGGGGAGCAAACAGG